rnacentral:tmRNA from 1 species
AGCAUUGAAAAUUAGCACCCAAUCGUCAUAUUAGAAGGGCUGGCUUGCCAGCUAUGGCGAUAAACGGAUGUGCAAUAAGCGUAUCGGACCCGGGGGCGGUACCCGGCGUCUCCACCAUUACUCCCUUCUGGCCUCUCUAAAUAUAAAGGAGGCGAGAGGGAAAUAGGUUUCCGGUCAAAGCUUCCGUGCUUUGCCGGUCCGGUAUGGGGACGAAACAGGCUCGACGGUCGUGUAAAGACAUUACUUUCGCCCGGCAUAGUACCACCGUUAUCGGGCUAGUUCCUUAAUUGCGAACGACAACCAUGAGGGCUUGGCCCUCGCUGCUGCUUAGUCUAACUAAGUAAGCGCGGCCCGGAGGGCGCCGAGCAACAGAAGCCCUCCACU